AGAGUUUGAUCCUGGCUCAGGAUGAACGCUAGCGACAGGCCUAACACAUGCAAGUCGAGGGGUAACAGAUGAAGAGCUUGCUCGGAUUGCUGACGACCGGCGCACGGGUGAGUAACACGUAUGCAACCUACCUUUUACAGAGGGAUAGCCCAGAGAAAUUUGGAUUAAUACCUCAUAAUAUUUUUAACUCGCAUGAGUUUUAAAUUAAAACUUCGGUGGUAAAAGAUGGGCAUGCGUUCUAUUAGUUUGUUGGUGAGGUAACGGCUUACCAAGACUACGAUAGAUAGGGGUUCUGAGAGGAUAGUCCCCCACACUGGUACUGAGACACGGACCAGACUCCUACGGGAGGCAGCAGUGAGGAAUAUUGGUCAAUGGUCGAAAGACUGAACCAGCCAUGUCGCGUGAAGGAUGACGGCCCUAUGGGUUGUAAACUUCUUUUGUAUGGGAAGAAAAGCAGUUACGUGUAACUGUCUGCCGGUAACAUACGAAUAAGGAUCGGCUAACUCCGUGCCAGCAGCCGCGGUAAUACGGAGGAUCCAAGCGUUAUCCGGAUUUAUUGGGUUUAAAGGGUGCGUAGGCGGCUCUAUAAGUCAGUAGUGAAAUCUCGAAGCUCAACUUCGAACGUGCUAUUGAAACUGUAGAGCUUGAGUACAGACGAGGCAGGCGGAAUGUGUUGUGUAGCGGUGAAAUG
rnacentral:rRNA from 1 species